AUUGCCCCAGUAACGGCGAGUGAAGCGGCAACAGCUCAAAUUUGAAAUCUGGCUCUCGGGCCCGAGUUGUAAUUUGUAGAGGAUGCUUUUGGCAAGGUUCCUUCUGAGUUCCCUGGAACGGGACGCCGGAGAGGGUGAGAGCCCCKUACGGUCGGAUACUUAGCCUCUGUAAAGCUCCUUCGACGAGUCGAGUAGUUUGGGAAUGCUGCUCAAAAUGGGAGGUAAAUUUCUUCUAAAGCUAAAUACCGGCCAGAGACCGAUAGCGCACAAGUAGAGUGAUCGAAAGAUGAAAAGCACUUUGAAAAGAGGGUUAAAUAGCACGUGAAAUUGUUAAAAGGGAAGCGCUUGUGACCAGACUUGCGCCUGGUAAAUCAUCUAGCGUUCUCGCUAGUGCACUUUGCCGGCUCAGGCCAGCAUCAGUUUGCUGUCGGGGACAAAAGCUUUGGGAACGUAGCUCUCUUCGGAGAGUGUUAUAGCCCGUUGCAUAAUACCCUUCGGCGGACUGAGGUACGCGCUCCGCAAGGAUGCUGGCAUAAUGGUCAUCAGCGACCCGUCUUGAAACACGGACCAAGGAGUCAACCUUAUGUGCGAGUGUUUGGGUGUUAAACCCCUACGCGUAAUGAAAGUGAACGCAGGUGAGAGCUUCGGCGCAUCAUCGACCGAUCCUGAUGUUCUCGGAUGGAUUUGAGUAAGAGCAUAUAGGGUUGGACCCGAAAGAAGGUGAACUAUGCGUGUAUAGGGUGAAGCCAGAGGAAACUCUGGUGGAGGCUCGCAGCGGUUCUGACGUGCAAAUCGAUCGUCAAAUAUGCGCAUGGGGGCGAAAGACUAAUCGAACCUUCUAGUAGCUGGUUUCCGCGA
rnacentral:rRNA from 1 species